UACAGAGGUCCCGAGCGUUGUUCGGAUUCACUGGGCGUAAAGGGUGCGUAGGUGGUGAGGUAAGUCGGAUGUGAAAUCUCCGGGCUCAACCCGGAAACUGCAUUGGAAACUACCUUGCUUGAGGGUUUGAGGGGGGACUGGAAUUCUCGGUGUAGCAGUGAAAUGCGUAGAUAUCGAGAGGAACACCGGUGGCGAAGGCGAGUCCCUGGAAAACACCUGACGCUGAGGAGCGAAAGUGUGGGGAGCGAACAGG
rnacentral:rRNA from 1 species